rnacentral:tRNA from 1 species
GCCGGAGUGGCGGAAUGGUAGACGCCAGGGACUUAAAAUCCCUUGCUCCGACAGGGGCGUCCCGGUUCGAGUCCGGGCUCCGGCACCA